rnacentral:rRNA from 1 species
AGAGUUUGAUCCUGGCUCAGGACGAACGCUGGCGGCGCGCCUAACACAUGCAAGUCGAACGGAGAUUACAGGCGGAAGUUUUCGGAUGGAAGCUUGUAAACUUAGUGGCGGACGGGUGAGUAACACGUGAGCAACCUGCCUAUCAGAGGGGGAUAACGAUUGGAAACGAUCGCUAAUACCGCAUGACAUAGCGGAACCGCAUGGUUCUGUUAUCAAAGAUUUUAUCGCUGAUAGAUGGGCUCGCGUCCGAUUAGAUAGUUGGUGGGGUAACGGCCUACCAAGUCGACGAUCGGUAGCCGGACUGAGAGGUCGAACGGCCACAUUGGGACUGAGACACGGCCCAGACUCCUACGGGAGGCAGCAGUGGGGGAUAUUGCACAAUGGGGGAAACCCUGAUGCAGCGACGCCGCGUGAGGGAAGACGGUCCUCUGGAUUGUAAACCUCUGUCUUCGGGGACGAAACGAGACGGUACCCGAGGAGGAAGCCACGGCUAACUACGUGCCAGCAGCCGCGGUAAUACGUAGGUGGCAAGCGUUGUCCGGAAUUACUGGGUGUAAAGGGAGCGUAGGCGGGCAGGCAAGUCAGGCGUGAAAUAUAUCGGCUCAACCGGUAACGGCGCUUGAAACUGCAGGUCUUGAGUGAAGUAGAGGUUGGCGGAAUUCCUAGUGUAGCGGUGAAAUGCGUAGAUAUUAGGAGGAACACCAGUGGCGAAGGCGGCCAACUGGGCUUUUACUGACGCUGAGGCUCGAAAGUGUGGGGAGCAAACAGGAUUAGAUACCCUGGUAGUCCACACCGUAAACGAUGAUUACUAGGUGUGGGGGGACUGACCCCUUCCGUGCCGGAGUUAACACAAUAAGUAAUCCACCUGGGGAGUACGGCCGCAAGGUUGAAACUCAAAGGAAUUGACGGGGGCCCGCACAAGCAGUGGAGUAUGUGGUUUAAUUCGACGCAACGCGAAGAACCUUACCA